CUACAACGCCCAUUGCUGUACAGAAAAUAAAUACUCAUGGAAGAGAUAUUUAUCGCCAUCUGCAGGAGCAAUGUAGUAGUGCAGAGUUUUAGCACCCCUGGUUAAACAGCCGACAUUGUUCAUUCUGAACAAAAUAACUCAUGUACGUUAGGUUUCACAAGCUAGCAUUCACUGUUUGCAAACCAUUUGUCCUCUACACUGUGUCCUAAAAUGUUCCUUUUUGUCUCGUUUAUACUUAUUCUUAUCUGUUCUCUCUAAAA